UACGUAGGGUGCGAGCGUUGUCCGGAAUUAUUGGGCGUAAAGGGCUCGUAGGCGGUUUGUCGCGUCGGGAGUGAAAACACCGGGCUUAACUCGGUGCUUGCUUUCGAUACGGGCAGACUAGAGGUAUGCAGGGGAGAACGAAUUCCUGGUGUAGCGGUGAAAUGCGCAGAUAUCUGGAGGAACACCGGUGGCGAAGGCGGCAUCCUGGACCGGCAUUGACGCUGAGGCGCGAAAGCCAGGGGAGCAAAGCGGG
rnacentral:rRNA from 1 species